UAAUUGCGCGUCAACAUGUGAACUGCAGGAUACAUGAACAUUGACAUUUCGAACGCAUAUUGCGGUCCUCGGAUACUGUUCCCGGACCACACCUGGCUGAGGGUCGUAUUAACUACCAGACUGCUACUUGCCUUCGGGCUCGUUAGCGAAUGAUGGGAAAUGGCGCGUAACUGCGUGUCCCUAAAGUAUCACUCAACGUGUGAACCAGUCCCGUCUGCAUAUACGGCGUUACCGUUCGUUGUCAGGCGUGGGAUUAGGGCGGGUUGUGUGUCCUAGAUUGAAUUCUUCGACUCGCCCGAUACCCGAAACCCGCCUGCGCGAUCGCGUUCCGUCAGCUAACGGGGCGAUCUAAAGGUUCCUCGUACCUGUGCGAGAUAUUCGUAUCGAGCGCUAACACUUUUAACGCGACCUCAGAGCAGGUGAGAUCACCCGCUGAAUUUAAGCAUAUUACUA
rnacentral:misc_RNA from 1 species